CCCUUUCCCAAGUUGAGCUGUUGACCAAUGGAGUCAGUCUGACUAGACUAAAAGGAUAAGUGGAUCAAGAAUGAAAAGGUCCCCAAAGAAGAAAUGCAGGCUAUCAGCACCCAGAUCUCGAAAUUAUAUAGGAUAAGUGCAAAUUCAUACAACUCUGAGGUUUCAGCCCUUAUCCAUGAAUUUGGUAAAGACAAUCAAAGGCAGAAAUAAUCUAUGUUGGAGAGACCAUCAGAAGAUAGGCAAACCAGUUAAUAAAGCUAUGAAUCAGUACAA